rnacentral:sRNA from 2 species
CAGGAAACCAAGCCUAAUCGGCGCCCGCGAGGACGCCGAGCCGGGGACCCACUCCAUCCCGGGGUGAAUCCCACCGGCGCGAGCCGGAGGGUAGGGAGAGCUUCCUUUGCUCCCGAACCCGUCAGCUAACCCGGUCGGCAUGAAACUGGAAGAGAU